rnacentral:rRNA from 1 species
UACGUAGGAGGCGAGCGUUGUCCGGAAUCACUGGGUGUAAAGCGCGUGUAGGCGGCCUGCCAAGUCUGCUGUGAAAGCGCCUGGCUUAACCGAGCGAGGUCGGUGGAAACUGGCGGGCUGGAGGACGGUAGAGGGGGGUGGAAUUCCCGGUGUAGUGGUGAAAUGCGUAGAUAUCGAGAGGAACACCGAUGGCGAAGGCAGGUCUCUGGGCAUUAACUGACGCUGAGGAGCGAAAGCAUGGGGAGCGAACAGG